rnacentral:rRNA from 1 species
GAUGAACGCUGGCGGCGUGCCUAAUACAUGCAAGUCGAGCGAAUGGAUUAAGAGCUUGCUCUUAUGAAGUUAGCGGCGGACGGGUGAGUAACACGUGGGUAACCUGCCCAUAAGACUGGGAUAACUCCGGGAAACCGGGGCUAAUACCGGAUAACAUUUUGAACCGCAUGGUUCGAAAUUGAAAGGCGGCUUCGGCUGUCACUUAUGCAUGGACCCGCGUCGCAUUAGCUAGUUGGUGAGGUAACGGCUCACCAAGGCAACGAUGCGUAGCCGACCUGGGAGGGUGAUCGGCCACACUGGGACUGAGACACGGCCCAGACUCCUACGGGAGGCAGCAGUAGGGAAUCUUCCGCAAUGGACGAAAGUCUGACGGAGCAACGCCGCGUGAGUGAUGAAGGCUUUCGGGUCGUAAAACUCUGUUGUUAGGGAAGAACAAGUGCUAGUUGAAUAAGCUGGCACCUUGACGGUACCUAACCAGAAAGCCACGGCUAACUACGUGCCAGCAGCCGCCGCAG